GGUGCUGGGGCGUGGGCCCUCUUCCACUGCCUUUUCCUAGGCAUAUUUAAAUGGGAGUUGGACUGCAGGACACAAACUGAACUGCACCUGCAGAAGCUGCCGGCCAGUGUCUUAGGCGGUGACUGGAGUUGCUACACUGUAGUCCUGGCCCCGGGUAGCCUCUGGCUUGGUUUUUAUUCCCAUAGCAUUUAGUGUCUGAAUUUUAUUUAAGACAAUUGACCUUAAAUGGGGCAUUUGCAAAUACAUCCUUCCAGAUCUCAGUGUGCUCCUCUUUCUAAUCAUUUUGAGAUUUCUUUCUCAGACCCUCUGCCGGUUCAGGGAAUUGAUUUCACAGGGUUUCAAUGUUUCCUUCCAGAAUUGUCGGGCAAUGGGUCCUGCUGGCUUAGUGGGCCACGUGCUCAUAUUUUGGAAUUAACCUUGCCUGGUCCAGGCCCCCUGCCAAUGUGUCACCCACUCAGCCACUGGCUCUGAGCUGACAGCAAUCAGGAGCAGAACAAUGAGCACUUGACAACAAUUAAUUGGUAAGAUGCAAAGAAAAAUUGUUUUGAAUAUUAAAAUUAUAGAUAUAAUGUUAUUAGGAGCAUGAAUCAGAGUUUAUGAAAACAUUAUUUAUAUUGAUUUAUUCCCAGAGCCAUCAAGCCUCCUUGAAAAUAAUUAAAGCUGACAUUUCCAUUGCUGAAACUAAGUGCUGACAUCAUGUGAUGAACAUUAUCUGCCGGGGAGCCCUUUUUCCAGGUGCACUCAGGACAGUGGCUUUCGGCGACUUCCACUCCCACUUUCUACAGCCUGUAGAUGAUUUUCAAACAAGAUAAUCAUCCAUUUGAUGGGUCAUGAAGUCAAUUUCACGGACUGUGACUAGCGUGUUCCACACACAGGAAAAUCAAGUAGAAUAUUGCCAUGUGUACUGGGGUACUUCAGGCCAGUGAAAAAUUGAGUUAAAUCAGUGAAUUUUUGCUGCAAAAAAAUUAUGAAAUCCAUGCAUGGAGUUUUCAUAAUACACA